rnacentral:rRNA from 1 species
CAAUAGCGUAUAUUAAAGUUGUUGCAGUUAAAAAGCUCGUAGUUGGAUUUCGGGUGGGACGCAGCGGUCUCGCAUUGCGUUUGUACUGCUGCAGCCCUCCUUCUUGCCGGGGGCGGCCUCUCGGACUUCACUGUCUGGGGGUCAGAAUCGGCGAUGUUACUUUGAGUAAAUUAGAGUGUUCAAAGCAAGCUUACGCUCUGAAUAUAAUAGCAUGGGAUAACACGACAGGACUCUGGCCUAUCGUGUUGGUCUAUAGGACCAGAGUAAUGAUUAAGAGGGACAGUCGGGGGCAUUCGUAUUCCGUUGUCAGAGGUGAAAUUCUUGGAUUUACGGAAGACGAACAUCUGCGAAAGCAUUUGCCAAGGAUGUUUUCAUUGA